CAAUCAAUAACGAUUUUGCGAAUUUCUAUAACGUUGACAUGCUUGAACUACAUAUGACUGUAGCUUGAUUAAUUAUAUCGGGUAUAUAUCUGUUUCCGGAGAGAAUAGGGCGAAAUUUGACAUGCUAGCAAAAGCAGCCUGUUCGAACGGUGAGAUACCAAUUAGGAUAAAAACUAAUUUUACUCAGAGGUUACUUCGGCAAUGCCUCGGUGGUAUAGUGGUUCUGUCGCUUGUCUAAGACGUCAGAGACCGGAGGUUCGAUCCCUAGUUGUGACGUCUAAUUUUUUUACUUUUUAUGAUAAUAAUAGUUAAUCAAACUGUUCUUGGUGUUUCAUCACAUAAAAAAAGGACAUUGUUAUGUACUCCCAGCAUCUUGGAUGUGUUCAUCCUUUGUUCAAAAUUCAUCCUGUAUAUGUUUUAUGCACACAAGAAAAUAACUAGAAAAACAAAUUUGCAUUCAUGAGUUGGCUCACAGAGCCCUUUGAUUCUUGCUAAAAACGACAGCAAACAAACGCCUGACAAGCUAAUGAAAAGAUUCUAACCACUGCAUUUGCAAACUGAAUCACUGAAGACUAUUAGGGACUCUCUCUUUACCUUUUCUCCAUGAAAGAGUUUAUUCAUUUGAGAAAAUUCUUUUUUUAUUUGUUUGAUAUAGAAAAUAAUAAAUCCAAAAGACAAAAGUUAGAUAGGGUUAGUUGGUUGAGCGCGGUGAUUUAAAACCGAAAUGGUUAAAUUUGAGAACUUCUAAAACGUUAACUUGUGACAUUUAAAGCGAAAACCAGCGUUUAUUAAAUAAAUAUUUUGAAUAAAAGUGAGAUAUUUUAUAUUUAUAAAUAAUGUUUUUUAUGUUUAUAAACUUCAUUUACUUACCACACACUCCCUUGUCCGAAAGGCAUUAACCAAGGUGCGAAGUCAAAUUCCCGUUGUAACCAUCCCCAUCCCUCGGGCUAAUAAUUAAUGCCAAUGACCUAAUUGCUCCAGAAGUGUGUUUUACGCGUUCUUUUGAGUACGUUAUCCUGCUGGGUUUAGAAGCGAGACACGAAGUCUGAACCUUUUUUAUACAGAAUGGGCGGAACCAUUAAUAUGACAGCACCUUUAUCACCGUCCUUUUUUUUGCCUCUCUGGCGAAUUCGCCGCUGGAAAUGAAGGGAAGAGGAUUUGUGCCUCUGCUUUAAUAAAAAUUAUGAAAAACAAACUCUAGUCUCAGGCUCGAGCCUCAAUGCCAAUUACAAAUCGCAAUUUUCAAGCCCGUUAUGGAUAACAUGUCGAAGAAGACAAAAAAUACGUAACAACUACCUAUAAGACUGUGUCACUAAUUCAUCCACCCUACUGUACGUAGGGUCAGAAAACUAUAAAGGCGUCACUAAGAUAUCUUGUAGUAAAUGACGAUCAAGUGGCAAACCGCUCACAAUCAUUAUAGUCCAUCGUUAGCUAUUUAUCGUUUUCAAACUAUAUCGCUAUAAUCGGGAAGCUACGAGACCUUGGAAUAGUGCUAGUACAUGCCCAUAGCCCCAGGGGGGUUAGAUAGUUGUGUGGGUGUGUUGAGGUAGGUGGUAUUUGUCAUUAGGGGCUGCCCAUUCAAUCCAAUCUGCGAAUGGUACCGAAUCCGUCGCUUGGAUAGCUACAAGCCGGCUCAGAUACACGUCCAGAAUCUCACCGUACGCAUUCAAGCCGCUUGACACUUCAUCCCGUCUCUUGCUUUGACGAACUAAGCGGCGUAAUCUAUUAGAGUGGUCACCGACGGACUAGAGAAGUUCCGGACCAUUUAUUAUAAGAGGGCAAUCAAGAGGGCGUCAUCGCUUAACUACUAAUGCUGUCAGGCAAACGGCAGCUUUACCAACUUCCGCCACUGUAGGAGACUCCCCACUAUAUAAAACCAAGGCACGGGUGUUAGCAUUUACCUUCUUGCUGCAGAAAUAGAAGCGAUACGACUGGUAGACAUACUAGAGAAGUAGAACAAUGAAUCUUAGGCUUGACGUCACCUAUCUCGUAGUGCUCUGCUUUUGUCUACUGAUGCCUUCCUGCAUGGCGUCGGUGCCCGUUCCGGGAAAUCCUUACGGAAAAAGGACGGACAUGGAGAGUCCUUACGAAAUGGGUAACCUGCCCUGCACCAAAGUCCCCAAGAUGCGACAAAGAAUCGACUGUCUCAAAAGAAUUUCCAGGCAUUCUCCAGGAUUCUACCGAUCCUAUCGCCCAACUGAUAGCAACUGUUAAAGCAGAAAAUACCAAACCUUGAUAAGCAUAGCCUAAAGACUGAGGAAAAUUUUUUAAAUUUUAGAAAACACUUCCGGUUUGACUCUUAAGUGACAUUUUGUGGCUCCUAUGGCACGUGGAUUUUGCGUUACACAUUCGUGUCCCUUUAAAUGCAGGUCUGUAUCUGCGAAAACUUGCACACACCCCUCUCUAUCCCCGAAAUGUAUGAAUGCUAUUAGCACAAAUCCGUGAUAAUCACUCCAGGAUCUGUAAAGGUGAUGUGAUAAACAAUCUGAUAGAAAUGACUGGUCACAGUAUCGCGUGGAUUCCAGAUAGACUCAACAUGUACACACAGGAAAACACACAGGAAAACCUGUUCUCUCAAAUUUGCCACUUAAAAUAACCAAUACAUGUGCCGAUUGUUAUAUAGUGAUAAGUGCAUUAAAUGUACAUUGAAUAAAUGAAAUACCUUGA